UACAGAGGUCUCAAGCGUUGUUCGGAUUUAUUGGGCGUAAAGGGUGCGUAGGCGGCGAGGUAAGUCUGGUGUGAAAUCCUGGGGCUCAACCCCAGAAUUGCACUGGAUACUGCUUUGCUAGAGGACUGGAGAGGAGAUUGGAAUUCACGGUGUAGCAGUGAAAUGCGUAGAUAUCGUGAGGAACACCAGUGGGCGAAGGCGAGUCUCUGGGGAUGAUGCUGACGCUGAGGCGCGAAAGCCCAGGGGAGCAAACGGG
rnacentral:rRNA from 1 species